UACGAAGGGGGCUAGCGUUGCUCGGAAUUACUGGGCGUAAAGGGAGCGUAGGCGGAUAGUUCAGUCAGAGGUGAAAUCCCAGGGCUCAACCCUGGAACUGCCUUUGAUACUGGCCAUCUUGAGUAUGGGAGAGGUGUGUGGAACUCCGAGUGUAGAGGUGAAAUUCGUAGAUAUUCGGAAGAACACCAGUGGCGAAGGCGACACACUGGCCCAUUACUGACGCUGAGGCUCGAAAGCGUGGGGAGCAAACAGG
rnacentral:rRNA from 1 species